AGGCAGGAGCUAAAUCAACCCCUCAGGAAUGAAGAUUUGGGGCACUCCACCAGGAAAAAAAAAUCACAGCCUGCUGAGGUGCUUGCUGAAGGGAAAGGGAAAACAGAAUGG